CCUACGGGUGGCAGCAGUUAGGAAUAUUGGUCAAUGGGCGCUAGCCUGAACCAGCCAAGUCGCGUGAGGGAUGACUGCCCUAUGGGUUGUAAACUUCUUUUGUAUGGGAGUAAAGUUCAUUAUGUAUACUGCUUUGCAUGUACCUUAUGAAUAAGGAUCGGCUAACUCCGGUCCAGCAGCCGCGGUAAUCCGGAGGAUCGGAGCGUUAUCCGGAUUUGUUGGGUUUAAAGGGAGCGUAGGCGGGUUGUUAAGUCAGUUGUGAAAGUUGGCGGCUCAACCGUAGAAUUGCAGUUGAUACUGGCAUCCUUGAGUACAGUAGAGGUAGGCGGAAUUCGUGGUGUAGCGGUGAAAUGCUUAGAUAUCACGAAGAACCCCGAUUGCGAAGGCAGCCUGCUGGACUGUAACUGACGCUGAUGCUCGAAAGUGUGGGUAUCAAACAGGAUUAGAUACCCGAGUAGUC
rnacentral:rRNA from 1 species